AGUCGGCCGGACGGCCGCGGGGCGGGGAACCGACGCCGGAGGGCGGAAGGGCCCUGCCCCGAGGAAAGUCCGGACUCCACAGAGCAGGGUGGUUGUUAACGGCAACCCGGGGUGACCCGCGGGAAAGUGCCACAGAAAGCAGACCGCCGCGCCCGCUGCGGCGCGGUAAGGGUGAAACGGUGCGGUAAGAGCGCACCAGCGCCCCGGGUGACCGGGGCGGCUCGGUAAACCCCACCCGGAGCAAGGUCGAAGGUCGCACCGGUGACGGUGUGACUGCACGGAUGCCACGAGGGCUGCUCGCCCCAGUCCGUGGGUUGACCGCUCGAGGCGCCCGGCGACGGUGCGCCCAGAUGGAUGGUCGUCGCCCUCCCUCGCGGAGGGGCACAGGAUCCGGCUUACAGGCCGGCUCGU
rnacentral:RNase_P_RNA from 1 species